UUUUUACUAAUAAUAAUAGUAACUUAUAUUUUUUGGAAUGAAAAGAGUAUGUUCUUGUUAGAAGGAAAAAAGAAAAAUGAUAAAAGGAAGACGUAAUAUAAAAAUCGUUUUGGUGUCUUUCUCUCUCUCUCUCUCUCUCUCUCUCUCUCUCUCUCUCUCUCUCUCUCUCUAUCUAUCUAUCUACGCAUGCGGCAUUGAUACGUUAAUUAGUUUGGCCCUGGAUCCAGUAGGGAUUGAAAGAUACUCAUGCCAUCUAAUAUUCGCUUCUACUAUGAAAAUAGAAAAAAAGAGAGAUAAACGGAGAGAGUAAAAUAUAUGUAUAGUACGAGUAAAUAUAGAUAUACAUAUUACAUAAUGUUAAAACUUGUUAUCGCUACCGAGUCAUGCAGAAAGUGUCUCUUCUGGUAUAAGAUAUAAACAAGGAGAGAAGAAGAAGUAUAAGAAAGAAAAAAACAAAAAAAGAAAAACAGAAACGAAAACAAAAGGAAGGAACGAAUGUUGAAAAACGAAGAUAUAUCGUAAACGAAGGUCAUCAGAGAGGCAUACCGAAAGACACGGUAGUAACGAAGAGACCGUGGUGGUUAAUGCACGUCGUCCUUUCGUUCGUUCGUCCGUUUGUCCAUUCGUUCGUUCGUUCGUACGUUCGUUCGUUCGUUCGUUCGUUCGUUCGUUCGUUCGUUCGUUCGUUCGUUCGUUCGUUCGUUCGUUCGUUCGUUCGUUCGUUCGUUCGUUCGUUCGUUCGUUCAUUCGUUCGUUCGUUCGUUCGUACGUUCGUUCGUUCGUUCGUUUAUCGUUUUCAUGCGCUGGGCUAGAUGCACAAUGCGUUUUAAUUCGGUCGGACCUUAUUCGACAGCUUUAGUCGUUUCUGGAUCAGCCUCCUUCGGGGCUGGCCGUCGUCGGCCGUGCUACGUCCCCGGACACGAGGCUCAGUGCUAUAUGUCGGAGGCCUUUUGAGGGGUUUGAUAAGUGAUGGUAGUGAAUAUAUAGUGGCGGUGAUGGUGUUCAAAAAUACAGCACACGCUUUCUAGGUUCUCGAUCGCAAGAUCGGAUCCGCAAUUUAUGGACUAAGACCUAGGGUAGUACCAUUUUCACUUCGGAUAGCGAGCUGAUGCUCAAGACGUACAUGGUGACGCCCACCUCGACGGGAGGACCUGAAAGCGAAGGGCACGGCUUAAGAGGGAAUCAUGCCCGUGAAAGUACCGACGCUUUUCAAGCCCAACCACUUCCGGUAUUUAGCUAAGCGACGACAACGACAACGUCGACGACAAGGAGGAGUAGAAGAAAACCGUUCGUAUUAGAUGAUUUAGGUAUAGCGAUGAAACUUUAGCUGAAACUAUAUCGUUGUGUUUCGUCGUAUGAUACUCUCGCUUUCUAUUUCUUUCUUUUUCUUUUCUUUGUCUUUAAGUUAAUUAUGUUUUAGUAAUUUUAUCGGAUAUUUUGCCAGUACGUGCUCAUU